rnacentral:rRNA from 1 species
CUACGUGCCAGCAGCCGCGGUAAUACGUAGGUGGCAAGCGUUGUCCGGAAUUAUUGGGCGUAAAGCGCGCGCAGGCGGAUUGGUCAGUCUGUCUUAAAAGUUCGGGGCUUAACCCCGUGAUGGGAUGGAAACUGCCAAUCUAGAGUAUCGGAGAGGAAAGUGGAAUUCCUAGUGUAGCGGUGAAAUGCGUAGAUAUUAGGAAGAACACCAGUGGCGAAGGCGACUUUCUGGACGAAAACUGACGCUGAGGCGCGAAAGCCAGGGGAGCGAACGGGAUUAGAUACCCCGGUAGUCCUGGCCGUAAACGAUGAGCACUAGGUGUCGGGGUCGCAAGACUUCGGUGCCGCAGUUAACGCAUUAAGUGCUCCGCCUGGGGAGUACGCACGCAAGUGUAAAACUCAAAGGAAUUGACGGGGACCCGCACAAGCAGCGGAGCAUGUGGUUUAAUUCGAAGCAACGCGAAGAACCUUACCAGGACUUGACA